UCCGUCGCGGGCGCAGGAAAUUUGAGAGGAGCUGUCCUUAGUACGAGAGGACCGGGAUGGACGCACCGCUGGUGUACCAGUUGUCUUGCCAAAGGCAUAGCUGGGUAGCUACGUGCGGACGGGAUAAGUGCUGAAAGCAUCUAAGCAUGAAGCCCCCCUCAAGAUGAGAUUUCCCAUGGCGCAAGCUAGUAAGAUCCCUGAAAGAUGAUCAGGUUGAUAGGUCAGAGGUGGAAGCGUGGCGACAUGUGGAGCUGACUGAUACUAAUAGAUCGAGGACUUAACCAAC
rnacentral:rRNA from 1 species